rnacentral:rRNA from 1 species
CGCGGCCUAUCAGCUUGUUGGUGAGGUAACGGCUCACCAAGGCAACGACGGGUAGCUGGUCUGAGAGGACGAUCAGCCACACUGGGACUGAGACACGGCCCAGACUCCUACGGGAGGCAGCAGCAGGGAAUAUUGCACAAUGGGCGCAAGCCUGAUGCAGCGACGCCGCGUGAGGGAUGAAGGCCCUCGGGUUGUAAACCUCUUUCAGGAGGGACGAAGCGAAAGUGACGGUACCUCCAGAAGAAGCCCCGGCCAACUACGUGCCAGCAGCCGCGGUAAUACGUGGGGGGCGAGCGUUGUCCGGAUUCAUUGGGCGUAAAGAGCUCGUAGGCGGCUCAGUAAGUCGGCCGUGAAAGCCCGGAGCUCAACUCCGGGACGCCGGUCGAUACUGCUGUGGCUAGGGUCCGGUAGAGGAGAGUGGAAUUCCCGGUGUAGCGGUGAAAUGCGCAGAUAUCGGGAGGAACACCAGUAGCGAAGGCGGCUCUCUGGGCCGGUACCGACGCUGAGGAGCGAAAGCUAGGGGAGCAAACAGGAUUAGAUACCCUGGUAGUCCUAGCCGUAAACGUUGGGCACUAGGUGUGGCGGAUUCAUUGACAUCUGCCGUGCCGGCGCUAACGCAUUAAGUGCCCCGCCUGGGGAGUACGG